CCUCGGGAGAGUAAAGUGGCGAACGGGUGAGUAAAGCGAAGGUAAUCUACCCUUAAAUUAGGGAUAACUUUGCGAAAGCGAAGCUAAUACCUGAUAAGACUACAAUCUCUUAGGAGAAAAUAGGAAAAGAUGGCCUCUGUUUCAUGCUAUCGUUUAAGGAUGAGCCUGUACAUUAGCUAGUUGGUGAGAUAAUGGCUCACCAAGGCGACGAUGGUUAGCUGGUCUGAGAGGAUGACCAGUCACACUGGAACUGAGACACGGUCCAGACUCCUACGGGAGGCAGCAGUGAGGAAUAUUGCGCAAUGGGGGAAACCCUGACGCAGUGACGCCGCGUGAGUGAUGAAGGCUUUCGAGUCGUAAAGCUCUGUUAGGUGGAAAGAAAUAUUCCAGUGAUAAUACCACUGGGAUUUGACGGUACCACCAGAGGAAGCACCGGCUAACUCCGUGCCAGCAGCCGCGGUAACACGGAGGGUGCAAGCGUUAUUCGGAAUUACUGGGCGUAAAGGGCGUGUAGGCGGUUAGGCAAGUCAGAUGUGAAAUCCCUUAGCUCAACUAAGGAAGUGCAUUUGAAACUUUCUGACUAGAGUACAGGAGGGGAAAGUGGAAUUCCCAGUGUAGAGGUGAAAUUCAUAGAUAUUGGGAGGAACACCAGUGCGAGGCGCUUCUGCCGAUCUGACGCUAGACGCGAAACGUGGGGAGCAAACAGGAUUAGAUACCCUGGUAGUCCACGCUGUAAACGAUGGGCACUAGGUGUAGGAAGUGUUGACCCUUUCUGUGCCGAAGCUAACGCAUUAAGUGCCCCGCCUGGGGAGUACGGUCGCAAGGCUAAAACUCAAAGGAAUUGACGGGGGCCCGCACAAGCGGUGGAGCAUGUGGUUUAAUUCGACGCUACGCGAAAAACCUUACCUGGGCUUGACAUGCUGGGAUUAAUCCUGAGAAAUCAGGAGGAUUGCCUUCGGGUGUAACCAGCACAGGUGCUGC
rnacentral:rRNA from 1 species